GCAAUGGUGGUUCAGUGGCAGAGUUCUCACCUUCCAUGCAGGAGACCUGGGUUCCAUUCCCAGCCAAUGCU
rnacentral:tRNA from 1 species